rnacentral:rRNA from 1 species
CCUACGGGAGGCAGCAGUGGGGAAUAUUGCACAAUGGGGGAAACUCUGAUGCAGCGACGCCGCGUGAGUGAAGAAGUCAUUCGUUAUGUAAAGCUCUAUCAGCAGGGAAGAAAAUGACGGUACCUGAGUAAGACGCCACGGCUACCUACGUGCAAGCAGCCGCGGUAAUACGUAGGGGGCAAGCGUUUUCCGGAUUUACUGGGUGUAAAGUGCGCGUAGACGGCAGUGCAAGUCUGCAGUGAAAGGCGGGGGCUCAACCCCCGGACUGCACGGGAAACUGGACGGCUGGAGUGCAGGAGAGGUAAGUGGAAUUCCUAGUGUAGCGGUGAAAUGCGUAGAUAUUAGGAGGAACACCAGUGGCGAAGGCGACUUACUGGAGUGUAACUGACGUUGAGGCUCGAAAGCGUGGGUAGCAAACAGGAUUAGAUACCCGGGUAGUC